AUUGAACGCUGGCGGCAGGCCUAACACAUGCAAGUCGAACGAGUGGCGGACGGGUGAGUAAUGUCUGGGAAACUGCCCGAUGGAGGGGGAUAACUACUGGAAACGGUCGCUAAUACCGCCUACCCUCCGCUGUGCCCAGAUGGGAUUAGCUAGUAGGUGGGGUAACGGCUCACCUCGGCGACGAUCCCUCGCUGGUCUGAGAGGAUGACCAGCAACACGGGAACUGAGAAACGGUCAAGACUCCUACGGGAGGCAGCAGUGGGGAAUAUUGCAAAAUGGGGGAAAGCCUGAUGCAGAAAUGCCGGGGGGAGGAAGAAGGCCUUCGGGUGUUAAAGUACGUUCAGCGAGGAGGCGUUACCCGCAGAAGAAGCACCGGCUAACUCCGUGCCAGCAGCCGCGGUAAUAC
rnacentral:rRNA from 1 species